AGGUAAUACUAUAAUUUAAUGAAAAGUAAAUUAAUUUUAAAAUUACAUCAAAAUUCUUGAUAUAAUAAUUUCUGUAUGUACGGAGUAUACACGUACAAUAAUCCGCAAACUCACAGACUUAGUAGAUAAUAUUAAAAUCAUCUGGUGGACUUUGACUGGAAGCAUGAUCAUGGCGAAAGCCUGUUUUUCAUCUGCUGCCUCGACGAGGAGACCAAGAAGGCGGUGACGAACUCGGAGCUUAGUUUGGAAGACGAAGGGAGCUUGCUGGACACCGACGGCCGACGGAUGUCCGGUUGAAACUCGAUCGACGCCGACUGGAGCUCUACGAGGAAGGCUGAGUGAAAUUUCUGUAGAUCUGACUACUCUUUAAGUCUCUGGAUUUCGCAAAUCGCAUUGGAAGUUCUGCUCUACCUUGAUCGGUGCCAUGGAAGAAUGGUUUGGUGGUCCAAUCAUGGAGAAGCUCAUCAGCACUGGCUUUGAGUACUUGAAACGUCAAGCCAGAUGGCAGACAGGCAUGAAGGAGGAGCUGGAAAGGUUGCGAGAGAACUACCCCAAGAUCCAAGCCGUGGUCCUUGCUUCCAGCCAAGCACAGAUCACAGACAAAAACUCGGAUUUGAACAAAUGGCUGUGGCAGCUACGGGAUGCCAUAGAUGAAGCAGAUGAUGUGCUCGAUGAGUUUGAGUACAUGAAGCAUGAAAAUCAGCUGAACGAAAACAAGGAGCAAACAAAGCUGCGUUCUGCCAUGAGCUCCAUGAAGAAAGGAAUUGUUAAAAUUGGUAAACGUGCUCUCCAAAUUGAUCCCUUAUUGAAAAAACUGGAGGAGGUUGUGAAGAAGCUUGAUAGAGUAUCAGCUGAUGUUGGCAAUUUUCUUCAUCUUUUAGAAAGCACAAAGCAGGAGCAACAGGAGCAGUUGAUUGAUUUGUACAAAACACGUGAAACGGGAUCCUUGCCUAAAAAUAAUCUUAUUGGUCGAGUUAAAGAAAAAGAAUUUGUUAUGCAGUGGUUGAGGAAGCCAUCAAAUGAAAAUGAGACUCUUAGUACUAGCACUACUUCGUACGGGAGCAACAUUUCUCUUCUCUCUAUAGUGGGUCAUGGUGGUAUGGGGAAGACAACUCUCUUGCAACAUGUCUAUGAAGAUGAAAUCACAAGGGAAUUUAAUCUUAAAAUGUGGGUUUGCGUUUCCAAUAACUUUGAUGUGAAAAGAGUUUUUAGAGAUAUGCUGGAAUGUCUUAAAAUGAAGAAGCCUGAUUUGGAAUCACUUGAGGCACUUCAAAGAAGUCUUAAAUCUGAGGUGAUUGCCAAGAAGUUCUUACUUGUGCUGGAUGACAUUUGGGAGGAGUCAGAGGAGCAGGAUAAAAGCAAAUGGGAGAAUGUGCUCGCUCCUCUGACUUAUGGAAGUUUGGGAAGUAAGAUUUUGACAACAACUCGGAUGGAUUCUGUUGCAUUGAUGAUUGCAAAGGUGAUUAAUAAGAAGAAGGAAACAUUUAGAUUGGAGGGCUUGGAGGAGGAUGCCUGUUUACAUCUCCUCAACAAUCAUGCUUUUGCUAAUGUAGAGAAUCCUGAUGUUCAUCAUCCUAAAUUAAGAUCCAUAGCAGUUGAGAUUGUAAAAAAGGUUUAUGGAUCUCCGUUAGCAGCAAAGGUCAUGGGUGGUGUUUUGAAUUCUAACUUGGAUGAAAGGCAUUGGAUGAAAGUUUUAAAUAGUGAUAUUGGAAAUGGAGAAAUGGGCAUAAAUGAUAUAUUUCCAAUCUUAAGAUUGAGUUAUAUGUUUCUACCAAAGCCUCUACAAAAUUGUUUCUCAUUUUGUGGUAUGUUUGCAGAAGAUCAUUUUUUUGUUAAAGAUGAUUUAGUUCGAAUGUGGAUUUCUUUGGGUUUCAUUCAUUCAUCUAAUGUUCGAGGAGGAGAUACUAUGGAGGAUAUUGGAAGAAGGUAUUUCGAGGUUUUGGUACAAAAAUCUUUUUUUCAGACUGAUGACUAUGGCUAUUAUUAUACGAUGCACGAUUUAUUACAUGAAUUGGCACAGUCUAUUUCUCCACAGGAGUGCUUUAGAGUUAUGGGUGAUGAAAAGUUACUUCAUACAAUUCCUGAGAGUAUUCGACACUUAUCUGUUGAAACUAAAAAUUUAGAUGUGCUUAGAAAGGUGACAAAAUUUAGAAAAUUACGUUCACUUCAUUUAACUUACUUAGUAGAUGAUCAAGAUUUUAUCGGCGUGCUCGCUGAAAUCUUCAAAGCAUCAAGAAGCCUACGUUUGUUAUAUAUACGUGCUCGAGGCUUGAAAAUGAUACCCGAGGCAAUUAAGUAUUUGAUACACCUUCGAUACUUAAGGCUUCGUCAUAUUGAUCUCUUUCGGCUGCCAAGAUCUUUAAGCAGUCUUUAUCAAUUGCAAUUCAUAAUCCAUGAUAUUUUUUCAGGAAUUAUUCUUUCUCAUGAUUUCUUACCAAGGGAUAUGAAUAACCUUUCUAAUCUUCAUUAUCUGCAAUUACCCUGGGAUCACUUCCCUGGGUUGUAUGGGAUUGGUAAGUUAAACUCUCUUCAAGAACUCGAUGGAUUUUAUGUUAAGAAUGAGGAAGGUUAUAGAAUUGGGGAGCUGGAGUAUAUGAAUGAACUUCAUCAAUUAAGAAUCAAACACGUCGAAAAUGUGAAGGAACCCAAAGAGGCUUACAGUGCUAAAUUAUGUGAUAAAAAAAACCUUACGGCUUUGUUCUUGGAAUGGGGUGAUACUCCUCACUUUGAUAUAGAGCGUAAAAUUUUAGAUCCCAACUUAGAUGAGAAGGUACUUGACAACCUUCAACCCCAUAACACCCUAAAGAAAUUGAGUAUAAAUGCAUACAUGGGUGCGAGGUCUGCAAUAUGGAUGAACAAGGCCCAUUUGAUCUCCAACCUAGAGUGCAUCGAACUGGAUAAGUGUUUGGAGUGGGAAACUCUUCCACCUUUUGGGCAGCUUCCCUUCCUCAAGUCUUUGUAUCUUCAUAACAUGCCAAAAAUAAAACGACUCGAUUCUAAAUUCUAUGGGAAUGAUGAGGAUCGUGUCUUUCCAUCAUUAGAUGUGCUACGUAUUGAGAAAUUGGAAGCAAUGGAGGCUUGGUUUGAUGCUGCACCAACAACAUAUGACUGUCUGUUUCCUUGCUUGACUGAAUUGUAUCUAAAAGAUUGCCCAAAUUUGCAAGAGUUGCCCUCUUUGCCUCCUAAGCUCAAGAAAUUGAAGAUAGAUAACAUUGGGUGGAAAGCUCUGAACUGGCAACGUGGCACGGGCAACAGUUGCAGCACUUCAAAAUCCAUUCCCCUUGAAACAUUAAAAGUCCUUCGCUGCCCCAACAUUAGAUCUCUUCCACUGGCUGAAGAAACAGCGAGACUUGCAGCACUUAGAAAGUUGACAAUUGUAGAUUGCCGCAAUCUCAUCUCUCUAAGAGGACGGCAAGAAGUGGUGGCCAAUGAGAAUCAUCAGCUCAUACUCAAUGAACUUGUUAUAAGCAAUCCAUCCGUGUUGCAAAUGGUGCCAUUGAGAAGUCUCGCCUCUCUUCAAAAGCUGGAAAUUAAGGAUAAUAAUGAUCUGGUUUCAUUUCCAGUUGAGGCAGAACAAUGGUUUCUUCAAGUUAGCUCGUCCCUUCAUGAGCUCAACUUUGAAAGGCUCAAAUCCCUGCAGUCCCUUCCUACCACCUUGUCAAGCCUCUCUUCACUCAAGAUUCUAUAUGUGCAUGAGGUUCCUCAGCUGAAGCUAUUGCCAACCAUCCCCAUCUCUGUAGAAAAUUUAUUUCUUACCUCCCUCGAAUCAUUGCAGUGCUUACAGCCUUUGUCGCACUCUUCUCUCAAACAUCUCCGCUUAAGAAUGAUUCCACUCCGAAAUCUGCCAGAACUUCCUUCUUCUUUGUAUAGGCUGUCUCUGGAAGAUCUUGAGAAGCUGAAUUGCUUGCCGUCUUGCCUUUCUAACCUUCCUUCUCUCCGAACUAUUUUCAUUAAUAACGUUCCUCUGCUCCGGGAAUUACAACACCUACCUACCUCAUUGGAAGAACUCUCAGUCUACGGUUGUCAACCAGAGUUUCAGAAGCGCUAUCAAAGGCUUGCAGGCUCUGAUUGGCACAAGAUUUCUCAUAUUUCUAGAAUCUAUAUUUCUACCGAGCCCUUGUGAUGUAAUUUUUUUGGUGGGAUUUAUACGCACAUAAAACAAUGGAAUUUACAUAUUUCACAGCCUCCUAACCUCAUUGUUUACAUAUACAACACUCUGUUACAACGGAGAGUCGGCUGGCAACGUCGCGCAAUUGUGCUUCCCUUUGGUGAUGAUGGACUGAAGAGGGCAACACUGGAUCGUGUUGUUCGCUGCCAUUCUUUAAAAAAACACAAGGAUGCCAGGAAACAUGCAGGAAGAAGAAAACAGAGAAAGAGAGGAAAUACGGGAAAGGGGAACUUCAUUGCAAAUGAAUUGGUUUUGAAACUAUGUUUUUUUGGGUUGAGGAAAAAUGAAUUGGUUUUGAAUGGUGCUCCUCGUUAUAAUCUUCCAGGCUAGGCUCCCUCUGCAUUUACCCGCGGUUAGUUUUACAAGCAUGCCACUGUGUUGGCUAUCUAAAUAGACUUGUAAUGUUCUGUAUUUAUGUAAAAAAUGGUAUAAUAAAUUUAGUUUUGUCUUGUCUCUUCAGCCUUUGUUCCCAUGUCUUUUUUUUUAAACUAAUCCCGGAGGAAAUUUUAUUCAACAAAAAUAAAAAAUAGGAGGCAGCGACCAAAAAAGACACCACCACCCAAACAACUCAAGCAAAAAAAAUAAAAAACUAAAGAACCGAAAAACACCUACAAUUCGUACGAUAAAAACCUGAAAAAAUCAUUAUCAAUACGAAUAUAAUGAAUAUUUGAAGAAUCACCCUUAAUCAGAUGAGCUAACUCUAGUGGAAUCCUAACAGAAAAAUUGAAUUCUUGAGUCACCUUCUCUUUUAGCUGCCCAGUUAGCGCACCGAUUCCCUUCUCGAUGAAUAAAAAUCCAACGAACCAGCAAUAACUUGAGGAAAGCAAAGAUUUUUUUUCAUAGAAAUAAUAAGAAAUCAAUGAUACUAUUUCUUUAGUACAAUAGUUCCAAAGUUCCAUAGAAUCCAUUUCAAUCUCAAUGUAAGACCAAUCACAUUUAACGCCUAAGAAGAGGGCCAUAAAUACAGCUUCUGCUUCAGCACAAAGAGGUCUAACAGCCGCAGCAGAAGCAGAAAACCAAAAAAAAAAAUUUUCUUGUAAAAGUUAACCCAUCAAGACCAGCA